rnacentral:rRNA from 1 species
UACGAAGGGGGCUAGCGUUGUUCGGAAUCACUGGCGUAAAGCGCACGUAGGCGGAUGUGCCAGUCAGGGGUGAAAUCCCGGAGCUCAACUCCGGAACUGCCUCUGAUACAGCACGUCUUGAGUUCGAGAGAGGUGGGUGAAAUUCCUAGUGUAGAGGUGAAAUUCGUAGAUAUUAGGAAGAACACCGGUGGCGAAGGCGGCUCACUGGCCCGGUACUGACGCUGAGGUGCGAAAGCGUGGGGAGCAAACAGG